rnacentral:rRNA from 1 species
GAUGAACGCUGGCGGCGUGCCUAAUACAUGCAAGUCGAGCGAACAGACGAGGAGCUUGCUCCUCUGACGUUAGCGGCGGACGGGUGAGUAACACGUGGAUAACCUACCUAUAAGACUGGGAUAACUUCGGGAAACCGGAUCUCAUACCGGAUAAUAUAUUGAACCGCAUGGUUCACUAGUGAAAGACGGUUUUGCUGUCACUUAUAGAUGGAUCCGCGCCGCAUUAGCUAGUUGGUAAGGUAACGGCUUACCAAGGCGACGAUGCGUAGCCGACCUGAGAGGAUGAUCGGCCACACUGGAACUGAGACACGGUCCAGACUCCUACGGGAGGCAGCAGUAGGGAAUCUUCCGCAAUGGGCGAAAGCCUGACGGAGCAACGCCGCGUGAGUGAUGAAGGUCUUCGGAUCGUAAAACUCUGUUAUUAGGGAAGAACAAAUGUGUAAGUAACUAGGCACGUCUUGACGGUACCUAAUCAGAAAGCCACGGCUAACUACGUG